UACAGAGGGUGCAAGCGUUGUUCGGAAUUACUGGGCGUAAAGGGCUCGUAGGCGGCCAACUAAGUCAGACGUGAAAUCCCUCGGCUUAACCGGGGAACUGCGUCUGAUACUGGAUGGCUUGAAUCCGGGAGAGGGAUGCGGAAUUCCAGGUGUAGCGGUGAAAUGCGUAGAUAUCUGGAGGAACACCGGUGGCGAAGGCGGGUCUCUGGGCCGAUACUGACGCUGAGGAGCGAAAGCGUGGGGAGCGAACAGG
rnacentral:rRNA from 1 species